GCGGUGAUGAACACUUGGCAUUGAUUCAAGUCUUGAACUGAUAAAAGCCAAAUUGUCCUCUAAGAAGUUCUGAGCUU